AAAUGGUUUCAGAGAGUGGGAGGACCACGAAGGAAAUAAACCAGUGUGAUCCAGCUGAGUGGGGAAGGAGGCCCUCUCUGAAGACGGGAUGUGUGAGCUGAGAACCCAGGCCUGGGCUGAACGGCCCCGGGAGCCAGCUGGGCCAACUGACGUCAGGACACCGAUAGCCUGCGAGCGGCGGGCUGAAUCACCCCCGCCCCAAGUGGACGCCCAAGUCUCUACCUGCGUGUUGCUUUGUCCUUCACAGGUCAGGGCGUUGGUUUUCUUUUUAAAUAAAUAAAGCUGAACCUGACUCACAACUCAACUCAAGAGAGGCUGCCGCUCAGCUCAGCGUCACCAUGGUAACCGCUCCAUCCAUAGAACACUUGAAAAUCUUAACACUCAAGACUCAAGACACAUACAAGCUGACAGAGGCUCCAGGUGUGCCUGAUUUAAGAGACCUCCAAAUUCCUAGACUGAUAUAGUUCUCCACCAAAACGGUUCCGGAUCAUGCUCGUCAGUCACCCGGGGAGACUGGAAGAAAUGCAGAUUCUAGGCCCCCUAACACGAAUUGCUUCAGAAACAAGGAUUAACAGGAGAGGAGGGAUGUCUAUCGGGAUCCUGGAAGAACAUUUCGUAAGAGGAAAGAGGCUCAGAAGGAUUGGGUCCCCUGCCCCGGGCCUCAUGGCUCCUGGACUGAGGUCCAGGCUGAGAUUCAGAGGAUCCCAAGGUUCGUGCUCCCCACACCACGCCAGACUGAGUCCCAUGGGGCGAUUACGAGGGAGCCGUUCCGCUUUGCUCGGAGACCGGGGCAAGGCGUGGGGUCACGUAGAGGCUGAUUUUCAGGAGGCAGUGGUGUCUGGGGAUGAAGUGCUCAGAGACAGCCUGUCCUCACUUGGCAUGAGUCCUCCCCCGCUCUGUAAGAGGGGCUGAUAAAGUUGGAACUGAUUUUGGAGAAGAGUUUACUGGUGUCCUUUCUUCUUGACUUUGUGGAGACCUACAGCCUCCAGGCUGGUGGCCCGCUUUCCAGGAAAAUGUUAGAGUCUUUCCCUGGGAAUGGAGAUAGGGAUGACCGUGGAGCCACCCAGCCCUUCUCUCCUCACUUAUCAAAUGCAGAGU